ACUGUAAAGCCUCUACUUGAUUUGUUCAAGCAUGCAUGGAGACCUAGUUGUGUUGCUUUUAUGCUUAGGUUUAGGAAGCAUGGGGAGUGUAAUGAGCGCUUCCUUUGCCUCAUGCAAUCGACGUGUCUUUUCUAUGGGUAUCAAAUUGUGCCCUGACCUUAUGUACCAAAUAGUUCAAUUUGGGCGAUGCUAGGGAAGCUCUACAACGGUGAGGCGAUCUACUAUGAUCUAGAUAAGAGUGUUGUGUGUGACGAGCCUCUAAGCAUGUCUGGUCAAAAUUUUCAGCGUGAUUUCUUUAGAGCUUGUUAUGGUGGAAUUUUAACCGUAGACUCUUCAUCAUGUGCUCAUAUCCUUACCUACUAGUCUAUAGUUUGAUUAUGUUUCGCUAGGACCUUUCUCUUUUCCUUUUGAACCUUCAUAUCUGAGAUUUAAAACAUAUAUUUAAUCAUAUAAAUGACCUCAAAGAAACAAUAUCUCAGCUACUCAUAAAAAAUUGUAGAUCUUAUCAAGAACUACAAUUUUCAUGUAAAGUGUAUGUCCAUCCAAGCUCAAAUGAAAAUGCUAGUGCAUUCGUACCCAAAACCAAUCUUAAUAUGGUUGAGGUAAUCGGUGUCGAUUUGUGGCAUGAACUGGCACUGAUAAGUGUCUCAUCAU
rnacentral:lncRNA from 1 species